AACGAGCGCUGGCGGCAGGCCUAACACAUGCAAGUCGAGCGCUCUAGCAAUAGAGAGCGGCGCACGGGUGAGUAACGCGUAGGAAUCUACCUUGUAGUACGGAACAACAGUUGGAAACGACUGAUAAUACCGUAUACGCCCUUCGGGGGAAAGAAUUUCGCUAUAAGAUGAGCCUGCGUUAGAUUAGCUAGUUGGUGAGGUAAUGGCUCACCAAGGCUCCGAUCUAUAGCUGGUCUGAGAGGAUGAUCAGCCACACUGGGACUGAGACACGGCCCAGACUCCUACGGGAGGCAGCAGUGGGGAAUAUUGGGCAAUGGGCGCAAGCCUGACCCAGCCAUGCCGCGUGAGUGAUGACGGCCUUAGGGUUGUAAAGCUCUUUUAGUGGUGAGGAUGAUGACGGUAACCACAGAAAAAGCCCCGGCUAACUUCGUGCCAGCCGCCGCCGUAA
rnacentral:rRNA from 1 species